CAAAAAGGAAUUCAAUGCUCGUCUGAAUAACUAAAUCGCUUUAGUCAAUUUUCACGGCGGAGGUGGGCUUUCCACGUGGUUCAAGACUGAUUGUUAACUGCAGUUAGUUGCAGCUCAGAAGCUCGUUUUCUGUUACCAGCUGAGGCGGCAUCGGCAGACUUGAUCUGAAAGGCAAGGCCAUUUCGGCAACAUUAAAACCCUGCGGGCAACUUAGAUCACUGGAUUUUCGAUGUUCUUUAAAACGACCAAUACUAGCCCCACACGGAAGAUGCCUUGGGCUAGCCAGAUGGGUCGAAGCCGUGGCGCAUAUUUACAUUUACAUUUAAUGAACGAUUACACCACUAAGAUAUGCGACCUUGGAACAGAAACAACACUAACUAUUUUUCUCAGCAACAUUUUGUUAAAUUUUCGUUUAAUUGUUAUGGCUUCUGUGGAUGCUUUUGGAUCAAACAAAAUAUCACGUUUCUAAGUUAAAGCCAAAGGUUUUUAGAUAAAAAUAAUAAUAAUGAAUUUAAU